rnacentral:rRNA from 1 species
UACGUAGGGUGCAGGCGUUAAUCGGAAUUACUGGGCGUAAAGCGUGCGCAGGCGGUUUGCUAAGACAGGUGUGAAAUCCCCGGGCUUAACCUGGGAACUGCGCUUGUUACUGGCAGGCUUGAGUGUGGCAGAGGGGGGUGGAAUUCCACGUGUAGCAGUGAAAUGCGUAGAGAUGUGGAGGAACACCAAUGGCGAAGGCAGCUCGCUGGGACGGUACUGACGCUGAGACGCGAAAGCGUGGGGAGCAAACAGG